GACGGAGGGUGCAAGCGUUGUUCGGAUUGACUGGGCGUAAAGGGCGUGUGGGCGGUUGGUCAAGUCGGGCGUGAAAGCCCGAGGCUCAGCCUCAGAAGGGCAUCCGAAACUAGCCAGCUAGAGCGCGAUAGAGGAGGGUGGAAUUCCUGGUGUAGCGGUGAAAUGCGUAGAUAUCAGGAGGAACACCGGCGGCGAAGGCGGCCCUCUGGCUCGUUGCUGACGCUGAGCCGCGAAAGCGUGGGGAGCAAACAGG
rnacentral:rRNA from 1 species